rnacentral:rRNA from 1 species
UGUGAGGGGAGUGAAAUAGAACCUGAAACCGUGUACGUACAAGCAGUGGGAGCCCUUCGGGGUGACUGCGUACCUUUUGUAUAAUGGGUCAGCGACUUACAUUUUGUAGCGAGGUUAACCGUAUAGGGGAGCCGUAGGGAAACCGAGUCUUAACUGGGCGUCUAGUUGCAAGGUGUAGACCCGAAACCGGGUGAUCUAGCCAUGGGCAGGUUGAAGGUUGAGUAACAUCAACUGGAGGACCGAACCCACUAACGUUGCAAAGUUAGGGGAUGACCUGUGGCUGGGGGUGAAAGGCCAAUCAAACUCGGAGAUAGCUGGUUCUCCCCGAAAGCUAUUUAGGUAGCGCCUCGGACGAAUACUACUGGGGGUAGAGCACUGUUUGGGCUAGGGGGUCAUCCCGACUUACCAACCCCAUGCAAACUCCGAAUACCAGUAAGUACUAUCCGGGAGACACACGGCGGGUGCUAACGUCCGUCGUGAAGAGGGAAACAACCCAGACCGCCGGCUAAGGUCCCAAAGUUCUGGUUAAGUGGGAAACGAUGUGGGAAGGCUCAGACAGCUAGGAUGUUGGCUUAGAAGCAGCCAUCAUUUAAAGAAAGCGUAAUAGCUCACUAGUCGAGUCGGCCUGCGCGGAAGAUGUAACGGGGCUCAAACCAGGCACCGAAGCCGCGGAUUCACGCUAAGCGUGAGUGGUAGGGGAGCGUUCUGUAAGUCUGCGAAGGUGUAUCGAGAGGUAUGCUGGAGAUAUCAGAAGUGCGAAUGCUGACGUAAGUAACGAUAAAGGGGGUGAAAAGCCUC